UAUAUAUGUUAGUUUGUGUUUUUUAUCUUGUCAGUAUAAUUUGUGCGUGUGUUAUUAUGCUUUACACAUCAUCGGCGACUAGGACAUCACACACCGUUGAUCAGGUAAAUAAAAGGACUCACUGGACAUUAACCAAAUAAACUGUUCGUAUUUUGAAAUAAAAGGGAAGUUUUUACAUUGAAUAUAUGCUUCCUUAAGAAUAUGACGACAACAAGCGUUAUGGAGGAACAGCAAUCUAAAAAAAUGAAAUCAGACCUUCCGACAGAUAGAGGAUGGGCGUGGGUUAUUAUGUUUGCAUGCUUUUGUGAACUAUUUUUGAUAGUUGGGACACUGAAGUGUUUUGGUUUGUUCUUUGUUGAGUAUUUACGAGUUUACGAUACCACUGCAUCUAUGGUAUCCCUUGUUCUCUCGAUACAGACGGC